AGGAGCACCUUUAGCUGAACCAUUCUGUUCUCUGAGUCUUCCAGACGUUGCACCAAGAUCUGCCUGAGGAUACUUAGAGAAACCACAAAUCUCGUCAACGGCAUCAUCAAGGAGAUCACGCACUAUGGUGAUGCUCAUGUUAAUGCUGACAUCCAUGAUUUCACUCACGUACACUCGUUCUGCAGCGUACUCUUUACCAAAUGCCACUCUAUCAGAUCUGUCCUCCUCUUCCUGAAAGAUAACACACUCAAUAAGAACAAAGCCAUAACAGUACAUAAGCAACCGUCGCACUGGAAGACGGGGAAGAGAGAUUGCAGGGGGCGAAGGAAAGGGAGGCGGCGGCGGAAGAUCACCGA
rnacentral:lncRNA from 1 species